AUUGAACGCUGGCGGCAUGCUUUACACAUGCAAGUCGAACGGCAGCACGGACUUCGGUCUGGUGGCGAGUGGCGAACGGGUGAGUAAUACAUCGGAACGUACCCAGUAAUGGGGGAUAACUAGUCGAAAGAUUAGCUAAUACCGCAUACGCCCUACGGGGGAAAGAGGGGGAUCGCAAGACCUCUUGUUAUUGGAGCGGCCGAUGGCUGAUUAGCUAGUUGGUGGGGUAAAGGCCUACCAAGGCGACGAUCAGUAGCGGGUCUUAGAGGACGAUCCGCCACACUGGAACUGAGACACGGUCCAGACUCCUACGGGAGGCAGCAGUGGGGAAUCUUGGACAAUGGGCGAAAGCCUGAUCCAGCAAUGCCGCGUGCGUGAAGAAGGCCUUCGGGUUGUAAAGCGCUUUUGUCUGGGAGCAAAUCCUUGUGGCUAAUACCCACCGGGGAUGAGAGUACCAGAAGAAUAAGGACCGGCUAACUACGUGCCAGCCGCCGCAGUAACAC
rnacentral:rRNA from 1 species